UACGGAGGGUGCGAGCGUUAUUCGGAUUCACUGGGCGUAAAGAGCACGUAGGCUGUUUGGUAAGUCUGAUGUGAAAGCCCUCGACUUAAUCGAGGAAGUGCAUUGGAUACUGCCAAACUAGAGUGCAGGAGAGGAAGAUGGAAUUCCCGGUGUAGAGGUGAAAUUCGUAGAUAUCGGGAGGAACAACAGAGGCGAAGGCGAUCUUCUGGACUGUAACUGACGCUGAGGUGCGAAAGCGUGGGUAGCAAACAGG
rnacentral:rRNA from 1 species